rnacentral:rRNA from 1 species
GAUGAACGCUGGCGGCGUGCCUAAUACAUGCAAGUCGAGCGAACAGAUGAGGAGCUUGCUCCUCUGACGUUAGCGGCGGACGGGUGAGUAACACGUGGAUAACCUACCUAUAAUACUGGGAUAACUUCGGGAAACCGGAGCUAAUACCGGAUAAUAUAUUGAACCGCAUGGUUCAAUAGUGAAAGACGGUUUUGCUGUCACUUAUAGCUGGAUCCGCGCCGCAUUAGCUAGUUGGUAAGGUAACGGCUUACCAAGGCAACGAUGCGUAGCCGACCUGAGAGGGUGAUCGGCCACACUGGAACUGAGACACGGUCCAGACUCCUACGGGAGGCAGCAGUAGGGAAUCUUCCGCAAUGGGCGAAAGCCUGACGGAGCAACGCCGCGUGAGUGAUGAAGGUCUUCGGAUCGUAAAACUCUGUUAUUAGGGAAGAACAAAUGUGUAAGUAACUAUGCACGUCUUGACGGUACCUAAUCAGAAAGCCACGGCUAACUACGUG